UACGUAGGGUGCGAGCGUUGUCCGGAAUUAUUGGGCGUAAAGGGCUCGUAGGCGGUUUGUCGCGUCGGGAGUGAAAACCUUGGGCUUAACUCAGGGCUUGCUUUCGAUACGGGCAGACUAGAGGUAUGCAGGGGAGAACGGAAUUCCUGGUGUAGCGGUGAAAUGCGCAGAUAUCAGGAGGAACACCGGCGGCGAAGGCGGGUCUCUGGGCCAUAACUGACGCUGAGGAGCGAAAGCGUGGGGAGCGAACAGG
rnacentral:rRNA from 1 species